AUACGUAGGUGGCAAGCGUUGUCCGGAAUUAUUGGGCGUAAAGCGCGCGCAGGUGGUUCCUUAAGUCUGAUGUGAAAGCCCCCGGCUCAACCGGGGAGGGUCAUUGGAAACUGGGGAACUUGAGUGCAGAAGAGGAUAGUGGAAUUCCAAGUGUAGCGGUGAAAUGCGUAGAGAUUUGGAGGAACACCAGUGGCGAAGGCGACUGUCUGGUCUGUAACUGACACUGAGGCGCGAAAGCGUGGGGAGCAAACAGGAUUAGAUACCCUGGUAGUCCACGCCGUAAACGAUGAGUGCUAAGUGUUGGGGGGUUUCCGCCCCUCAGUGCUGCAGCUAACGCAUUAAGCACUCCGCCUGGGGAGUACGGUCGCAAGACUGAAACUCAAAUGAAUGGACGGGG
rnacentral:rRNA from 1 species